UACGGGGGGGGCAAGCGUUGUUCGGAAUUACUGGGCGUAAAGGGCUCGUAGGUGGCCAACUAAGUCAGACGUGAAAUCCCUCGGCUUAACCGGGGAACUGCAUCUGAUACUGGAUGGCUUGAGUUUGGGAGAGGGAUGCGGAAUUCCAGGUGUAGCGGUGAAAUGCGUAGAUAUCUGGAGGAACACCGGUGGCGAAGGCGGCGUUCUGGACUGUAACUGACACUGAGAGACGAAAGCCAGGGUAGCAAACGGG
rnacentral:rRNA from 1 species